rnacentral:lncRNA from 1 species
AAAAAGGAAAAGUGAAGAGAAGCUUUUCCUUCUGCAGAGAGAGAGAGGGCAGGGAAUGUAGAGAGAAAGGGGAGAAAAGUCAAAAGGUGAAGUGAAAAAGAAGAGAGCAGAGGGAGAAGACGUGAGAGUGACAGAGAGAGAGAGAAAAGCUAAAAAAAAAAAGAGAAAAAAAAGAGCUACUGUUCAUCUUCUCCAGAGCUUCCCCUCCUCCGCAUCUGCUCGACCGGUCAUCCGAACCUCCGCCGCUGCAUGUCCCCAUAAGCGCUGCCGCCCCAGCGUCCAGCGACCGCACCUCCGCCGGAGCACGACGCCAUCACCUCCACGUCCACCGGCGACCCCUUCUGCUCAAAAGCUGCAAAGCCGACGCCUGCAGCUACCGCCUCGCUGACCCUCUGCACUCUCCUUCCACCGCUACCGACGUCGGCAGCCGCGCUUCCAUCUCCUGCGAGCAACGACUUCCCUCCACCAGUAGCCCGCGCUGCUCCGUCUCCGCUCGGUGCCCGACGCCCCUGCAGCACCUCCGUCCGCGACCACUCGGUGCCUGACGCCUGACGACCGCGACUCUGCAACCCGCAGCCCAGCCGAUUCCGAGCCGGUCCGUUCUGCUCCCGCUGUUGCUGCGCCUCUGACCACCAGAGUACCGGAUCCCGUGACGCUCGCGCCUCCGAUCUCCUUCGCCGACGCUCCCCGCAGCAGUUCAACCCUGCUCGUCGCUGCUGCCGAGCCGUUCCACCAUCCCGACGAAGCCGCCAUCGUGCUGAUUCGUGACGAUCCCGACGCUGUCCCCUGGUCCGUUCGUCGUCAGUUCGCCUUCUACCAACUGGUGACGCCACCCACGACCUGCUGCUGCCGCCGGACCGCUCGCCGCCGAUUCACCCAUUGCCGAUCCUCGCCGGAGAUCCGAUGACCGUGACCGGUGCCCAACGGUGAGCAGCCACCGCCACGCCCAAGUCUCUUGGGAAGAAAAAGAAGAAAGGAAAAAACAAAAGAAAAAAAAAUUAGGUAGUUUUAUUUUCUUUUUUUUAUUUACUUUAUUUUGUUUAUUUUUUUUAGUUUAAUUACUUGAAUUGCAAUAUUUUGUAUGUCAAUAAUUUGUAGACCUUGUAGACAUUAG